UUAAGCGACUAAGCGUACACGGUGGAUGCCCUGGCAGUCAGAGGCGAUGAAGGACGUGCUAAUCUGCGAUAAGCGUCGGUGAGGUGAUAUGAACCGUUAUAACCGGCGAUUUCCGAAUGGGGAAACCCAGUGUGUUUCGACACACUAUCAUUAACUGAAUCCAUAGGUUAAUGAGGCGAACCGGGGGAACUGAAACAUCUAAGUACCCCGAGGAAAAGAAAUCAACCGAGAUUCCCCCAGUAGCGGCGAGCGAACGGGGAGGAGCCCAGAGCCUGAAUCAGUGUGUGUGUUAGUGGAAGCGUCUGGAAAGGCGUGCGAUACAGGGUGACAGCCCCGUACACAAAAAUGCACAUAUUGUGAGCUCGAUGAGUAGGGCGGGACACGUGGUAUCCUGUCUGAAUAUGGGGGGACCAUCCUCCAAGGCUAAAUACUCCUGACUGACCGAUAGUGAACCAGUACCGUGAGGGAAAGGCGAAAAGAACCCCGGCGAGGGGAGUGAAAAAGAACCUGAAACCGUGUACGUACAAGCAGUGGGAGCCUCUUAAUGGGGUGACUGCGUACCUUUUGUAUAAUGGGUCAGCGACUUAUAUUCUGUAGCAAGGUUAACCGAAUAGGGGAGCCGAAGGGAAACCGAGUCUUAACUGGGCGUUAAGUUGCAGGGUAUAGACCCGAAACCCGGUGAUCUAGCCAUGGGCAGGUUGAAGGUUGGGUAACACUAACUGGAGGACCGAACCGACUAAUGUUGAAAAAUUAGCGGAUGACUUGUGGCUGGGGGUGAAAGGCCAAUCAAACCGGGAGAUAGCUGGUUCUCCCCGAAAGCUAUUUAGGUAGCGCCUCGUGAAUUCAUCUCCGGGGGUAGAGCACUGUUUCGGCAAGGGGGUCAUCCCGACUUACCAACCCGAUGCAAACUGCGAAUACCGGAGAAUGUUAUCACGGGAGACACACGGCGGGUGCUAACGUCCGUCGUGAAGAGGGAAACAACCCAGACCGCCAGCUAAGGUCCCAAAGUCAUGGUUAAGUGGGAAACGAUGUGGGAAGGCCCAGACAGCCAGGAUGUUGGCUUAGAAGCAGCCAUCAUUUAAAGAAAGCGUAAUAGCUCACUGGUCGAGUCGGCCUGCGCGGAAGAUGUAACGGGGCUAAACCAUGCACCGAAGCUGCGGCAGCGACACUAUGUGUUGUUGGGUAGGGGAGCGUUCUGUAAGCCUGUGAAGGUGGCCUGUGAGGGUUGCUGGAGGUAUCAGAAGUGCGAAUGCUGACAUAAGUAACGAUAAAGCGGGUGAAAAGCCCGCUCGCCGGAAGACCAAGGGUUCCUGUCCAACGUUAAUCGGGGCAGGGUGAGUCGACCCCUAAGGCGAGGCCGAAAGGCGUAGUCGAUGGGAAACAGGUUAAUAUUCCUGUACUUGGUGUUACUGCGAAGGGGGGACGGAGAAGGCUAUGUUGGCCGGGCGACGGUUGUCCCGGUUUAAGCGUGUAGGCUGGUUUUCCAGGCAAAUCCGGAAAACCAAGGCUGAGGCGUGAUGACGAGGCACUACGGUGCUGAAGCGACAAAUGCCCUGCUUCCAGGAAAAGCCUCUAAGCAUCAGGUAACAUCAAAUCGUACCCCAAACCGACACAGGUGGUCAGGUAGAGAAUACCAAGGCGCUUGAGAGAACUCGGGUGAAGGAACUAGGCAAAAUGGUGCCGUAACUUCGGGAGAAGGCACGCUGAUAUGUAGGUGAAGCGACUUGCUCGUGGAGCUGAAAUCAGUCGAAGAUACCAGCUGGCUGCAACUGUUUAUUAAAAACACAGCGCUGUGCAAACACGAAAGUGGACGUAUACGGUGUGACGCCUGCCCGGUGCCGGAAGGUUAAUUGAUGGGGUUAGCGGCAACGCGAAGCUCUUGAUCGAAGCCCCGGUAAACGGCGGCCGUAACUAUAACGGUCCUAAGGUAGCGAAAUUCCUUGUCGGGUAAGUUCCGACCUGCACGAAUGGCGUAAUGAUGGCCAGGCUGUCUCCACCCGAGACUCAGUGAAAUUGAACUCGCUGUGAAGAUGCAGUGUACCCGCGGCAAGACGGAAAGACCCCGUGAACCUUUACUAUAGCUUGACACUGAACAUUGAGCCUUGAUGUGUAGGAUAGGUGGGAGGCUUUGAAGUGUGGACGCCAGUCUGCAUGGAGCCGACCUUGAAAUACCACCCUUUAAUGUUUGAUGUUCUAACGUUGGCCCGUAAUCCGGGUUGCGGACAGUGUCUGGUGGGUAGUUUGACUGGGGCGGUCUCCUCCUAAAGAGUAACGGAGGAGCACGAAGGUUGGCUAAUCCUGGUCGGACAUCAGGAGGUUAGUGCAAUGGCAUAAGCCAGCUUGACUGCGAGCGUGACGGCGCGAGCAGGUGCGAAAGCAGGUCAUAGUGAUCCGGUGGUUCUGAAUGGAAGGGCCAUCGCUCAACGGAUAAAAGGUACUCCGGGGAUAACAGGCUGAUACCGCCCAAGAGUUCAUAUCGACGGCGGUGUUUGGCACCUCGAUGUCGGCUCAUCACAUCCUGGGGCUGAAGUAGGUCCCAAGGGUAUGGCUGUUCGCCAUUUAAAGUGGUACGCGAGCUGGGUUUAGAACGUCGUGAGACAGUUCGGUCCCUAUCUGCCGUGGGCGCUGGAGAACUGAGGGGGGCUGCUCCUAGUACGAGAGGACCGGAGUGGACGCAUCACUGGUGUUCGGGUUGUCAUGCCAAUGGCACUGCCCGGUAGCUAAAUGCGGAAGAGAUAAGUGCUGAAAGCAUCUAAGCACGAAACUUGCCCCGAGAUGAGUUCUCCCUGACUCCUUGAGAGUCCUGAAGGAACGUUGAAGACGACGACGUUGAUAGGCCGGGUGUGUAAGCGCAGCGAUGCGUUGAGCUAACCGGUACUAAUGAACCGUGAGGCUUAACCUU
rnacentral:rRNA from 1 species